rnacentral:rRNA from 1 species
AGUGAACGCUGGCGGCAGGCCUAAUACAUGCAAGUCGAACGGCAGCACAGCAGAGCUUGGCUCUGUGGGUGGCGAGUGGCGGACGGGUGAGGAAUACAUGGGAAUCUGCCCAGUCGUGGGGGAUAACGUAUGGAAACGUACGCUAAAUACCGCAUGCGCCCUACGGGGGAAAGUCGGGACCGCAAGGCCUGGCGCGGAUUGGAUGAGCCCAUGUUCGAUUAGCUAGUUGGCGGGGUAAAGGCCCACCAAGGCGACGAUCGAUAGCUGGUCUGAGAGGAUGAUCAGCCACGACUGGAACUGAGACACGGUCCAGACUCCUACGGGAGGCAGCAGUAGGGAAUAUUGGACAAUGGGGGCAACCCUGAUCCAGCCAUGCCGCGUGAGUGAAGAAGGCCCUCGGGUU